AUACGGAGGGUGCAAGCGUUACUCGGAAUCACUGGGCGUAAAGCGCGCGCAGGCGGCUAUUUAAGUUGGAUGUGAAAGCCUAUGGCUCAACCAUAGAACUGCAUCCAAAACUAUUUAGCUAGAGUGUGGGAGAGGAAGAUGGAAUUAGUUGUGUAGGGGUAAAAUCCGUAGAGAUAACUAGGAAUACCAAAAGCGAAGGCAAUCUUCUGGAACACUACUGCCGCUGAGGCGCGAAAGCGUGGGGAGCAAACAGGAUUAGAUACCCUAGUAGUCC
rnacentral:rRNA from 1 species